AAUUUAGAAUAGCUGUAAACAAUAAUUAUUUCUGUGAUCAAAGUGGAAUUUUCUGCAUAAUUACUCUGAUUCUAACAUGCUUAUUUGCUCGAAUAAAUUUUUUUCUGAUUAGUAUCACUGUUGAAAACAGUUGUGCUGCUUGAUAUUUUUGUGGAAAAUGUGAAACAUCACCAUCUGGUCAAUACUUUUAUUCAACAAGGUUGUUUCAAGGAUCAUGUGACACUGAAGACUGGAGUAAAGAUUCUGAAAAUUCAGCUUUGAUCAGAAAAAAAAACAAACAUUUAAACAUUAAACCAUUUACAUGAAAAUAUCUUUAAUAUAAAAAUAUAACUUUUCUAAUUACGGUACUUGAAAGCAAAAGUCUUCAGAUUUCCAUAUGUUCUAGAGCAGUGGUUCCCACCCCUUUUCAGCUCGCGGCCCACACAACCACACACAUAUGUUUGCGUGGCCCACUUCAAAAACUGACCCCGCUAUUGUUGGGUUAAUAACUUAGUACUCAGAAGCUAGAUUGUUAACUGUAUUUAUUGAAUGAACUAGGGCUGUGCGAUAUGGACAAAUUUUAUUUUUGUGAUUUCUUUGAUUAAUUUUGCAAUUGUGACACACACCGAUAUGCUUUUACAGUCUUUUGAAACAUUUUCCAAAAGAAAACCAAUUAGAGUUGAUCAAAAAAUUGUAACGUCUCUAGAACAGACCAGAGCCAUAUAGAGUGAGAGUUGCGACAACUCCAUUGACUCCAAUGGAACGUUUUUUUUACAGCAAUGGCGGCUCGUGGAGCCUCUAAAUAGUUCCCGGAUGCCGCGCCGUAGAGAUGCAGCAGAACAAACCGUUCGCGACGCACUUUUAACAGGUCUAGGGGUGCAUUGUGGAGCAGGGCGCUCCUCUUUUUGACCACAGGACAAUGUACAAAGAUUGUGGGAAUAGCAUCUGACCUCAGCCUACUCUUGAAUUUUUUGGUCAUGACAAAUUGCUUUGCCACAAUUUGUCUGCAUACUGACUUCAGUUUAGUUUCCACACACACCUUUUUUUUUGUCUACCCACACACAGUACAUAUCACAUGGUGGUUAAAUGCACAGUUAUAGGUAACACUGAUGACUCCCUGCAAUGUCUCACCAUGAGUCUCAGCUCCCUGGGUUUUGCAAGGCUUUGCUUGUUCCUUAUUUCUAGUAAAACAUUGUCAAUGUAAAAAAGUGCUAAUAAAUUUAAGUAUAAUUACCUAACAAUUUUUUGUUGUUGUAAUUUUUAUUUGUAUUUAGAUUGCUCCUGCUGACUUGAGCCAACCAUUAUUUUCUCCUCUCUAUGUCAGCGGGGAAGCCAUACAUUCGCACACCUUUCUCUGACUGAGUGGAGCAUCCCCAUGCAGCACAGUAAACCACGGUGGAGACUAUGCAAGGACAACAUUAAAGAAAGGACACAUACAAAAUGCUUGUCAUGCUAUUAAAUUUAUUAUAAAUGUAUUCAUGAAUUGCUGUAAAUAGUUAAUUGUAUAAUUACAAUUUAAAAUAACUGUUUUCUAUUUUAAAAUGUAAUAUACUCCUGUGAUGCCAACCUGAAUUUUCAGCAUUCAUUACUUUUGAAUGGCAGUGUACAUGUUUAUAUACGAGUAUGCUUAAGUUGUUUUAAACCUGAAUAUAUUGUGUACAUGAAUAAGUAUUGUAAGAAUUAUACUAGAUAUAAUAGGUAUAUUAUUUAUAAUACAUAAUUAUAUUACUAUAUGUAAUUGUAAGAAUUAUAAAUUAUAAGCUUCA
ensembl:lncRNA